rnacentral:tRNA from 1 species
GAGGGUAUAGCUCAGUGGUAGAGUGUGUGUUUAGCAUACGUGAGGUCCUGGGUUCAACCCCCAGUACCUCUA